CUAUUUUUAGCGUUCAAAUAUUUCUUUUAGGUUUAGUUAAAUAUUUUAAUUUUUUAUUUCAUUUUUAGUAAGCCUUACAUUUAAAGCUCGAAAGCUACAAAAAUAUAGCCUCAUUUUAGGAUAAGUUUUGCCUCUUUAUUUUUUAAAAGAAAAUGAAACUUAAAAAAUAUGUCUUCUUUAAUUUAGGAUUUAAUAAAUAAGCUAGUGAUUUUAGUAUUUUCUUAGUUAUAUUUUAUUAUGGACUAGCUAUUUUUUUUUUUCUAUAUUUCAUUUGUCUAGAUAUAAUUAGCUAAUAUUCUUAUCCUCAUAUUUUUAUCUUUAUUUAACUUUAAUAAAACAAAAAAAAAAAGAUCCAAACAACUGGAAAAAAAAAACUACUACUAACCUAAAAAUAGUAAUCUGUAAACACCCCCCUUUUCCCAUUACCGCCACCACACGUACACACACACACAUACACAAAAUCUAAGAAACCUACACCAAGUCUAAUUCUCCUCCCUUACGUCUUCUUCCCCCAUGCUAAUCCUUGUAACCCCUUCGACCAAAAAUUUCUCAGCCAAAGUUAUCCCCUAAACUCCUACUCCCUCACGUUACACAACCAGCACACAAUAUACAAUAUAAAUACACACACCUACACACGACAGAAACACACGAAAAAAAAAAGUUAAAAUAGAGCAAAACAGUGAGCACAAACCAUAGAGAGGAAAAAUACCUAAAAGAAAUUUUGGAGAUUCUAAAAGGUUUAAUUGGAGUUCGAGGUUUUGAGUUCGUGGACCCGAAAGUUAGCUUUUGCUAGCUUUGGAAAAUCUAUAAUUUGUACGUCGGUUUCGUUGUUAAUCAAAAAGAAUUUGAAGAUUUUGGACGAGAUUGGGAUCGACGCCAAGCGAGCGUAAGGCGCUAUCGAGGUACAGGUGCACUCGGUGACACGCCGCCAGUCUAGGGCACAGGUUCUGCUAUCUUGAAGAGCUCCUUUUGAUUCGGAGCAUGUACUUUGGUAUAUAUAUCUUCUGUUUUCCAUAUGUUCUGUAUGUAUGGAGGUUCUGGGUACGGCGGGGCCCUGUCCCGUCAUAUGAUUCUGUAUGUCUGUAGAGGCCUGUAGAUAGAUGUGUGGGUUACGGGUUUCGUCUGUAUGUUAGCCUUAUCGGCUUAUCUGUAAAUGUCUGCAUGUUCAGGUAUAUAUAUAUGUUUGCGCGCGUGCCGUAUCUGUAUCGGCCUACUUCUGUAAUAUCCGUUUGAAAAAAAAAAUCUGUACGAUACGAAAUUCGGUCAGGUAGGUAUGUACGGGUACCCAGCUAGGGUGCCAGUCGCGGCCCACGGGGUUGGGUCGUGACAGAAGUGGUAUCAGAGCGGUUAGUCCUCGGAAUGUCUACAGGCCGUGUCUAGUAGAGUCUUGUUUAUCGAUGUGUUGUGCACCACAUCUAUAAACAGGAAGCUACAGGGCAUCUAGGAUGUUACCCUUCUUUGAAUCUUAGAUCAUGCGAUAGAGCCAGCUGUAGGAUAUGAAUUCCUUUCGACUAACUUUUAAUUUCAGCCAAAGGACGGCAUCGACAGAAGGCAAUGGCUGAUGAUAUUGGAGGCCGCACAGUACUCAGGUAAGCAAUAAUAUGAAAGCUGUGUGUCGGAGAAGUUGUUUGAUGUGUGGUAGAAAUAUAAAGUUGAAGAUUGAACAGAAAAGUGAACAGGAAGGAGCCUGCGAUGUUGUUCGAGUUGGGCAUGUGAGGUAAGCCUCGACAUCUGUAUAAUUUUAUCUGUAAUUGUUAGCCCCGUGUGGCUACGAGACGACAUGAUAUGAUGUAUAUAUAUAUAUGCGUAUAUGUGUUGGCCCUGUGAGGCAUGGUUGGUAUUUCUUGUGUACAGGUUUCGGAUAGUAAGAAAUACAGAGGAACCUCUGCCCAAAUGUUUUUCCAGAGAUAUGGAAGUAAAUAUAUAUAAAGUAAGUACAAACAGGUUCCGCGAUACUUGUCGGAAUUUAGUUUUCUUCUGUCGGUGGUUGGAGAGCACCUUAUGGUGAUAUUUUAUCAGAUUUCACCGACUAUUUGGAGACGGAAUUCGUGGGACGAAGACUUAAAUCUGUGGCCUGUCUGUAAUUGUAUGUAUAUGUGUAUGAAAGUGAAUAUCGGAGAUUCAGAAAGGCAAUAUGGUAAUUGUGCAACUUAGCCGGGGGUGGGACCCGCUACAAAAAUUUUCCGAAAAUUUGCUAAGACCCCGAUUUGCCCUAAAAUUAUGUGACAAAGGUCCUGCAGGGCAAUUGACGAAAAUAUAUCAGCCCUAACGCGUCAAAAUGCAUGAAAGUUUCGGGGUUAAGCGUGCUCAAGCCAGAGCAAUUCUGGGAUGGGUGACCCCCCUGGGAAGUAAUGCAAAAUUUUGCACAAGUGUAAGUAUGAUAGAUAUAAAUGAAAAUUUGGGGUAAUCUAAAGGAAAAGAGAAUGUGUGGAGUAAUUAGUGCCCUUACAGGAGUCGCGCAGAACGAGGCGGACUAAAUGGGCAAAAAGAAAAGGUGCAACACCGCUCGGGAAAUUGAGCGGAUUUGAAUAACAGUCAGAGACGUUCGCCAGUAAGAUACUAGUAAAUAUAUCUGUAUGUGUGUAUGUGUGUGUGUAUAAUUUUCGUUUGGUGCCCAUAUGGAUCAAGAGCCGAGUCCCGGCAACUAAUGUUGUGAUAGACGAAAGGUUUUACUAAACCGAAUACAUGAAAC